rnacentral:sRNA from 1 species
ACUCGCGGUCCGCAGGAUGACUCAGGGCAGCCCUGACCACAGUUCCGCCGCCAUCGGCCCUAGCCUGCGGAAUUGGGCUCGCCCCGGGACGAUAACAGAGCUCUGCCGGGGGCUGGAGGCACUGACCGGGUGACCAGAGACCCAGAGACCAGAGCCCCUCCACGGCGCCCGGGAUUUCGGGGACGGCUUCUCCCAUCGCAAGUAGGGCUUGGACGGGAGGCGACAAACGAGAACUUGGUCCGCACACAGCCACCGAAAUUGGAAUGAGGAGCUGUAGGGAGGCCCCGUAGCCAGCAGAAAAGCACUGGGGUCCCUGGCUGGGUUAGCCCAGGUUUCUAGGAGUGUGGUAAGCGUCGAAUGACUUUUGUCCUUUUAAAGCACAUUAUGUUACUUUUUCCCCAAGGUUUCAACAGAAAAUGAGAAAUAUCCCCCGACGAUUGGCUGAAAACAUGCAGCAACCACUAUUUUCUUCCUGCCCCUCGUUGAUGAGAGCAUUCGAAGUGACCUCAGCAGGGCAUCCAGGUCAGUUUCUGGAAGACUUGUGAGUGUGGUGAAUGAAUAUCUGGUUUUGUCUCUGCUGGGCCUGUGUGCCUGGAAAGGAAUUGUUUUGGCCUAGGAUCAUCCAGAUCAAUUAUGCAGCUACAGCCAAAACCAAGUUCUUUUUAUUGCAAUGGUAAUGAAAGGAGCCCCGUGUAAGUCACUGGAAGGUCACAUGUUCACAGACUGUCAGCUGUGGAGGGUUAUGUAACAGUGGUUAUGCAAUGCCACGUUAGAACUACAGCCCGAGCAGCAAAACAUUUAGAUA